rnacentral:lncRNA from 1 species
GUCCCGAAAGAUACAGGAUACAUCUUGCAAAUAAUAAAAGUAAGGGUAAAAUAAUAUUUCUAAUAGAAGAGGCCAUUGUGGAAAAUAGGAUCAAUACCCCGGUCAUUUAGAAGACUGCCCCGGUUUUGACAUCAGUUGUUAGAGGAAAGAGAAUAUUUCUAUUUACAUAUAUACAUCUGACAGAGAAAAGCAGCUUGUCUUUUGGGGAGAAAUUGAUAUUUUGUUACGCAGCUCUCCUCCAUUUUCUUCUCCUGAUCUUCUUUCUUUUUCUUUAUAUUUCCAUCAAAUUCUUGUAAUUUCCCUUAGCAUCAUCAGUUGUAAUUUCAAUUUGAAUAUAAUCAUUAACUUUUCAGCUGCUGGUUUUGAUUGAGUUUUAAGUCAUUAAGCUUCAAUCAUUACAAUUGGUAUCAAAGCAUAAGCUCUUAUGCAAGAUGGAAACUAGACAGAAAGCUACUGAGGAACAUUUUAAAAAGCUGGACAAGGAGAUUGAAGACUUGGGUACUGCUUUUACUUCUAUAUCUAUGAAGACGAAAUCAUCUGAUCAAUCUUUGAGGGCGCUAUGCAACAGACAAGAAAGGUGGAAGGUAUAUUGAACGAACUAAACUCUAAAUAUGAAUCCCUAGUAGCUAUGAUGGCCCAACUAAGUGUAGGAAGAAUGGAUUCCAACAACAAGUAGAAGGAAGGUACAAUUAGCAUAGAAGGAACUGCAAGUGGAGACUCAGUACCAAGGAUUGGGAACUAUGUGAGAGAGUCCUUUCCAAGGGGAUUUUAAAAUGAGUUCCAAAAUGCCCAAAAUUGACUUUCCUCAGUUUGGUGGGGAAGGACCCAGAUAAUGGCUGAGAAAAGCUAGAAAGUUCUUUCAGCUUUAUCAAAUUCCUGAAAAUUUGAAAGUAGGAAUUGCUGAGAUGUAUCUCAAGGGCAAAGCUAAUAUAUGGUUUCAUGGAUUUAUAACCAGUCAUCCAGAGGCAGAUUGGAGCUUGUUUUCUACAGAGAUAUGUAGGAUGUUUUCUGAGAACACAGCUAAAGAGGUGGUAGAAACCUUCAGCAAGAUUAAACAACAUGGGUCUGUGGCUGAAUAUCAAGAGAGAUUUGAAGAUCUCAAAUCCCAAGUAUUGCUUUCCCUCAUUUACCCGAUUCCUAUUAUAUUUCCAUUUUCACCAGUGGAUUGAAAGAGCAGAUCAAAUCCAUGGUUAAGAUCAUCAAACCUACAUCUAUAACACAAGCCUUUGAAAUAGCCUCUUUACAGGAAACCACCAUUGCAGCCCUCAACAAAGUACAAAAGCCAUCUAAACCAAAUAACCCAACCAACUGGAACUCGCAGUCUCUUAAAAAAAUAGACACUAGCCAAAAAAAUAUCCCUCACACAGACUCCACCCUUAAGAGCCAAAAGUACCCAAAUUUAAACCUUGGCGACAAGGUUUAGAUAAGCAGGGGGGUUGUCAAGGAAAGAAGAUGACGGUUGAAUGGAAUUGGGGUCUAAGAAGAAGGAUAAGCAAUAAAAAUUUGAAAAAAAGAUUAAUGGACAGGACCAGCCUUCUAAUGGGCCUCUUUUGUUUGGCCUAGUAAAGGAAACGAGUCAGAGGCUUUGGCAUCAGUUGUUAGAGGAGAGAGAAUAUAUCCAUAUACGUAUAUACAUCUAACACGAGAAAAGCAACUUGUCUUUUGGGGAGAAAUUGAUAUUCUGUUAUGCAGCUCUCCUCCAUUUUCUUCUCCUGAUCUUUUUUCUUUUUCUUUAUCUUUCCAUCAUCUUCUUGUAAUUUCUCUCAGCAUCAUGAGUUGUAAUUCCAAUUUGAAUAUGAUCUUUAACUUUUCAG